AACCUCUUAUAAAUAAUAACACUUCCUCUUGUCAAUAAGUAUUUACAACCUCAAAUUAUUAAAAAUAUUUUUUUCUAAAUCUACAAAUUGUCAAGCUUAGAAUCAACAUAAAUCUCUUAUAAAUAUUAACAAUAUUUCAUCUUUGCCAAAACAUUCUCAAAUAUCAAUAGUAUUUAUAAAUUAAUCAUCAACGAUCUCCAUAGCCUUUCAUCCUAACCUCUCACAACAUGCAUCACGCUACAUCUCAGUGUCACCCACUCGCCCCAUAAAUAUCACAGUGACACUGUUCAGCUCGUUGUAAAACAGCGUGAUCCAUCGAUAAGUAGUUAAUUAUUCGUUCUCCGAAUCGAGAGGCAAAGACGAAAAUAAACAAAAGAGAAACGAAAGUGGGAGCUGUGUAAGAUAUCGCGAACGAAGGGCGAAAAGAAAGCAAGAAACUGGCCGAUCCAUCGUCGGAGGGCAUCAAGAGCUUUUAACCUCCGGUAUCUACGAACGAAGUUUGACGUAUGCGAGCAUGUGUACGGGACUUUAAGUCGGGUCCUACGUCGUCGGUUAGGCCAAGUUAGUCCGAAUGAGCCGGGAAGCCUUCAGGAUUUAAUCUUCGGUGGGCGUGAGCAGGAUUAGCCAGGUUGCCCACACGUCCGACAAACGGAUUACAGGAGUGUCAAUAUCUUACGGGGCACGCAUUAUCCCUCUUCUUGUUCUUCUUCUUCCUUCGUUCUCCUUUUUUCGCCUUUUCCCCCCGUUUCUGUAUCCUCUUUCGUGACUUCCUCCUCGGGGAACAUUUUGUUAACGACACGUCGCACAAAUGAAUCUGAAUAAUUUUGUAUUCAUUACGGUUGCUGUUCGAACACAGUACUCUUCAUUUGUUUUGCGUAAGAUUAAUAUUGCGGAUACAUAACCUUUAGAAUUUCACAAAUUUUAUCUAAUUAUUCAUUAUUGAAAAUUCUAACCUCUAAUCCAUUUAUGUCCUUUUGAUAACCUCAUUCUUUCCGAGUGCAUUUUUAUAUUUCGAUCGUAAAAGUUUUCGAUGUACAUAUUGCGUAAUCCGAACAGUACCGAAGAGGAACGAAGUUACCCGAUUUAUUAUUACGCGUUCGUUCGUUUUGCGUCGACCACCACGAAGUAAUCUACUGAUGGAGCUGACACUUGGAGGAUCCGUAAAACCUUCCUAUGCAAACAAAAAAUCAGUAUUAUUUAUAAAUUAGGGUAAUCAAUAUAAAUACGUCUUGCAACUUUUAGGAGAAUAUAGAAUUGGAAAAUGCAGAGAUGUGUGAAUAUGGAAAUUUCGAGAAUGCAGAAACUUGACGAUGUACAUAGACAUUCGAGAAUAUACAUAGUUUGGAAAUGCAAUGAGUUGUGAAUUGAUUUAAGAUUACAGGAAUUCAAAAACAUAGUGACACAAGAACACAGAAUUUUAAAAAUGUAAAAAUCAAAAAACACGAGUUUCUGAAAACAAAAUGUCAGAAAAUAUAGCAACCGGCGGAUGCAGCCGUUCGCAGUGCACAAAUUACAGAGGUCUGCGAAUCUAGAAAUGCCGAGAUUAUGGAAAUUACGUAAUAUUUUAAUUUGUGAGUCCCGUUCGAAAUCAAUUUAAUAACAAUAAUCGAAGAAGGACAAUGUAAAGUGAGUUCGCUGCCGGCGCACCGUGGCUUACACUUUGCCUGGCAUUUGCGAUUUGCAAAUGCAGUCUACCGCACUGCAAUUUUGCGCGAUCAUUUUCAAACUAAAAUAUACAUUUUGCGCCGACAAGAUUCAACGUUAUAUUGCACAUCGCUGGCUAGCACCGUUAUACGCAACUAUUCACUACGCUUGAGUUAUUCGACGGCUUAGUUCGAUGGUUAGGUUAGGUUGCAAACUUUUCAUAUUGACAUGCAAGGUUUGUUGCAAAGAAUGUAAAAUAAUUAAUACUCUCGCUGUUCUGAUGAUUUAGAAUGAUUGGAGAGGUUGAAUCAUCUACUGUAAUUAUAAAUUAUUUUAAUGAUAUAUUAAAAAUUCAUCAAACUUAAAA